rnacentral:tRNA from 1 species
GGAGGCGUUUCCGGUCUGGUGGUCGGCGCAGUCUUCAAAACUGUUGAACGGCAGCACCUGUCGUUGGCGGGUUCGAUUCCCGUCCGCCUCCGCCA